UGGGGAAUUUUGGACAAUGGGGGAAACCCUGAUCCAGCCAUCCCGCGUGUGCGAUGAAGGCCUUCGGGUUGUAAAGCACUUUUGGCAGGAAAGAAACGUCGCGGGUUAAUACCCCGCGAAACUGACGGUACCUGCAGAAUAAGCACCGGCUAACUACGUGCCAGCAGCCGCGGUAAUACGUAGGGUGCAAGCGUUAAUCGGAAUUACUGGGCGUAAAGCGUGCGCAGGCGGUUCGGAAAGAAAGAUGUGAAAUCCCAGAGCUUAACUUUGGAACUGCAUUUUUAACUACCGGGCUAGAGUGUGUCAGAGGGAGGUGGAAUUCCGCGUGUAGCAGUGAAAUGCGUAGAUAUGCGGAGGAACACCGAUGGCGAAGGCAGCCUCCUGGGAUAACACUGACGCUCAUGCACGAAAGCGUGGGGAGCAAACAGGAUUAGAUACCCUGGUAGUCCACGCCCUAAACGAUGUCAACUAGCUGUUGGGGCCUUCGGGCCUUGGUAGCGCAGCUAACGCGUGAAGUUGACCGCCUGGGGAGUACGGUCGCAAGAUUAAAACUCAAAUGAAUUGACGGGGUCGAU
rnacentral:rRNA from 1 species